rnacentral:rRNA from 1 species
CCUACGGGAGGCAGCAGUGGGGAAUAUUGGACAAUGGGCGGAAGCCUGAUCCAGCCAUGCCGCGUGUGUGAAGAAGGCCUUUUGGUUGUAAAGCACUUUAAGCGAGGAGGAGGCUACUAGUAUUAAUACUACUGGAUAGUGGACGUUACUCGCAGAAUAAGCACCGGCUAACUCUGUGCCAGCAGCCGCGGUAAUACAGAGGGUGCGAGCGUUAAUCGGAUUUACUGGGCGUAAAGCGUGCGUAGGCGGCUGAUUAAGUCGGAUGUGAAAUCCCUGAGCUUAACUUAGGAAUUGCAUUCGAUACUGGUCAGCUAGAGUAUGGGAGAGGAUGGUAGAAUUCCAGGUGUAGCGGUGAAAUGCGUAGAGAUCUGGAGGAAUACCGAUGGCGAAGGCAGCCAUCUGGCCUAAUACUGACGCUGAGGUACGAAAGCAGNGGAGACAACAGAUAGAUACCUACGUAGUCAUGCGUAACGAUGUCUACUACGUCCGGUUCGGGUUCCGGUUCGUAGUACGUUUAGUUGGUCGGCGAGACGUAACCGUACGAGUUAAAGUUAAGUACCGCCGUUCGGGGUAGGGUUACGGGUUCGGCGAGAACGUUAAACCGUUACGAAAGGAAGUUAGACGGCGUUGAGGACGNGCCGACGGACGACGACGAGGGAGGUAGG